UGCAGAUGUUGCGUGACCUGGGAGACAGAACAAUGAAGCUGAUGACUAACAACCCAUCAAAGUAUGUUGGGACUUAAAGGUUAUGGCUGGACUAUUGCUGGGAGAGUCCCUCCAGUGACUUCCAUAACAAAUGAGAACAAGACAUACUUGGAGACAAAACGCUCCAAGCUGGGGCACAUCUGUAACAAAAGAGUCAAUGGCCACUUCAGCAAUCUCAUCAGCAAAAACGGUAAGCUGAGCAGCACCGUUUCUUUUGAUCCGGCUGUUUCUGACUGAUAGGAACCACCGGAUAGUUUGACUGCUAAUGAUUUAUUCGAGGGAUUCAGGCAAGUUCACUGACAGAUGGUGCUAUUUUACUUUUAAAGCACUAAGGUCAAGAACAUUGGGAUACCUGCCGACCGUGAUUUUAGGAAAUUUUAUGGCGAUUGAGUUUUAUAAUUAUUCUGAGUGUCAUUUUUGUUGUACUGAUGUCAUUCAUUCAUUUUGCAACGCCAAAAGGUGAAGAUUAGCCCUCUUGUUAAAACUUCCUUUUGUACUAUCGAUUGCUUGCGAGAUUUAUCCUUAAUUCAA